rnacentral:rRNA from 1 species
UACGUAGGGCGCAAGCGUUAUCCGGAAUUAUUGGGCGUAAAGAGCUCGUAGGCGGUUUGUCGCGUCUGCCGUGAAAGUCCGGGGCUCAACUCCGGAUCUGCGGUGGGUACGGGCAGACUAGAGUGAUGUAGGGGAGACUGGAAUUCCUGGUGUAGCGGUGAAAUGCGCAGAUAUCAGGAGGAACACCGAUGGCGAAGGCAGGUCUCUGGGCAUAACUGACGCUGAGGAGCGAAAGCAUGGGGAGCGAACAGG